rnacentral:rRNA from 1 species
AUUGAACGCUGGCGGCAUGCUUUACACAUGCAAGUCGAACGGUAACAGGCCGCAAGGUGCUGACGAGUGGCGAACGGGUGAGUAAUGCAUCGGAACGUGCUCAGUCGUGGGGGAUAACGCAGCGAAAGCUGCGCUAAUACCGCAUACGAUCUCUGGAUGAAAGCGGGGGACCGAAAGGCCUCGCGCGAUUGGAGCGGCCGAUGUCAGAUUAGGUAGUUGGUGGGGUAAGGGCCCACCAAGCCAACGAUCUGUAGCUGGUCUGAGAGGACGACCAGCCACACUGGGACUGAGACACGGCCCAGACUCCUACGGGAGGCAGCAGUGGGGAAUUUUGGACAAUGGGCGCAAGCCUGAUCCAGCAAUGCCGCGUGCAGGAAGAAGGCCUUCGGGUUGUAAACUGCUUUUGUACGGAACGAAACGGUCCGGGUUAAUACCCUGGGCUAAUGACGGUACCGUAAGAAUAAGCACCGGCUAACUACGUGCCAGCAGCCGCAGUAACAC